GACGGAGGGUGCAAGCAUUGAUCGGAAUUACUGGGCGUAAAGGGCGCGUAGGCGGUUAGGAAAGUCAGAUGUGAAAUUCCGGGGCUCAACCCCGGAGCUGCAUUUGAAACUUCCAGACUAGAGUGCAGUUAGGGUAAACGGAAUUCCACGUGUAGCGGUGAAAUGCGUAGAUAUGUGGAAGAACACCGGUGGUGAAGACGGUUUACUGGGCUGAAACUGAUGCUGAGGCGCGAAAGCAAGGGGAGCAAACAGG
rnacentral:rRNA from 1 species